rnacentral:lncRNA from 1 species
AACAAGCCAGGGCAGACACGGGGGGCUGUUGGCAGAGGUGGGGAGUGGUGAUUCCACCUAACCUGGGUCAGUGACCCCCGAGACCCCACGUGGACCACCUUAGGACAAGAUUUUGGUGUCUGCCUCUUCUCCUCUGGGAGGGGGGGUUCUUUUUGUGCCCGGCUGUUGGGGGAGAACGUGUGACCAGGCCACGUGAACUGAUGCAGAUUUAAAAGUCCGUCUUACCAGCAAGAAUAGGUGCUGACAGUGGGGGUUGGGGGUGGGAAGACAAGCUGCUCUGAGGAGUGGGAGGUGUCACGGCAGAGUAAGAACGGCAGCUGGGUGCCCCUGAGCUGGCUAGGGACUUGAAAAGCAAGUGGUGAACAUCACCCCUAUAUUUAGUAAGGCACCAGCUGGAUCAACCACAAGGACCUAUCUUGGUUGGUGGAUACCUGGACCCUGAGGUCAGAGGGCAGCUUGCUACAAGUGAUGGGUGUCUCACUGCCUACCCAAUGAUUUCAAGACAGCUCCAUAGAAAGCGCUUCCAUUCUCCCGGCCAACCUUUGCCUCCCUGUAAUGUGUCCUCACUGGCCUGGCUUAGUCAUCUGGAGACACACACAGGCUUUGCACACUCUCCUCCAGCUGUUCGGAGUGGCCUGUGCCCUCCUGACCUUGUAGGUUUGCUGUGAAUCUCUUGUGGUUUCUGUGGGUGCCCCAGGCACCCGCAC